rnacentral:rRNA from 1 species
UACAGAGGGGGCAAGCGUUGUUCGGAAUUACUGGGCGUAAAGGGCGCGUAGGCGGCCUUCUAAGUCGAACGUGAAAUCCCCGGGCUCAACCCGGGAACUGCGUCCGAUACUGGAAGGCUUGAAUCCGGGAGAGGGAUGCGGAAUUCCUGGUGUAGCGGUGGAAUGCGCAGAUAUCAGGAGGAACACCGGUGGCGAAGGCGGGUCUCUGGGCAGUAACUGACGCUGAGGAGCGAAAGCGUGGGGAGCGAACAGG